UCGCUCCGUACAAGUGGAACCGUGAGCCCACUUCAGAGCAGUAUUUGAUUCUGUCAAAGCGCAAUCCGAGUGUGUUUCUGCGUCGUUUCGUGACGUCGCCUUACCAAGGGACAGUUGAAACAGUGGACUUUACCCGGCAAACGUGCUCCGAAGAAGGCGAAAACUACAAUCGGCCGGAAAGGUGAUGGCCACCAUCGUUUGGGACGCACAAGAUUGAUCUACAUCGACUACCUGGAGAAAGGAAAAACUAUCACAGGGCUCAUCCAUACCGAAUUAUUGGACCGAUUCGAGGUCAAAUUGCAGAAAAACCAGUCCCAUUUGGCGUAGAAAAAAAUGCUCUUCCACCAUGACAACUCACCGGAUCACACCAAAAUUUUAAGUCACUCGCCGGGCAGAAAUUUCAGUCGAAUGACCAAGACCUCAAAAAAGGCUUAGUACUUAUCGGACCGCUAUCGGACUAGUGACCAUUCGGUUCCGGUAAGGAGUACCGUAAAAUGGCGCUAAUAGAAGCUGCAGGGCCAAUCGAAACAAAAUGUCAGGUUUUUUUCAAACUUCAUAAUAUCAUAAUGGAUCGCCAUAUUGAGACAAAGUGACAUGAUUUAAUUUUCUCAUUAGUUUAAUCCGAAUCCCGUUUAAAAUAGCAAGUUCGAUUCACUUUUGACUCUAUUUUCGCAAUUUAUUUAGUUGUUCCUUAAAAUUAUCACCUAUUUUGUUAUAAUUUACAGCCAGUUCAAUGUAUUUUUCAGUAUGUUUUUCAGUUUAUUAAAAUUAUCAUUAAUAAUUCGUUUAGAGACUAAUGGUGUUUUGAUGUCAACCUAAACCUAAAAAGUUAUUUCAAAAAUGCAAGUAAUUAAAUAUACAUUUUCCGAUUUAAUAUAUGAGAGUAUAAAAAAUACAAGAUAGUGUUAAAAUAGAUAAUGUGGUAAACGGAUGUAACAUAUUAAUCUAUCCAAGUUUGGAGUAAAUAUUGUUGCGUCCGAAAGAACAAAAAUAAUUGCUGCUAUAAAUAGUACUCUACAUAGUAUUCUACAUUCAUACGUUCGUAUCAUUUUGUCGUUCGAUGCAGACAUAAAGAAAUAUACGAAUAUAUGUAAACAAA